rnacentral:rRNA from 1 species
GAUGAACGCUGGCGGCGCGCCUAAUACAUGCAAGUCGAGCGAACGGACGAGAAGCUUGCUUCUCUGAUGUUAGCGGCGGACGGGUGAGUAACACGUGGAUAACCUACCUAUAAGACUGGGAUAACUUCGGGAAACCGGAGCUAAUACCGGAUAAUAUUUUGAACCGCAUGGUUCAAAAGUGAAAGACGGUCUUGCUGUCACUUAUAGAUGGAUCCGCGCUGCAUUAGCUAGUUGGUAAGGUAACGGCUUACCAAGGCAACGAUGCAUAGCCGACCUGAGAGGGUGAUCGGCCACACUGGAACUGAGACACGGUCCAGACUCCUACGGGAGGCAGCAGUAGGGAAUCUUCCGCAAUGGGCGAAAGCCUGACGGAGCAACGCCGCGUGAGUGAUGAAGGUCUUCGGAUCGUAAAACUCUGUUAUUAGGGAAGAACAUAUGUGUAAGUAACUGCGCACAUCUUGACGGUACCUAAUCAGAAAGCCACGGCUAACUACGUG